GAUUCUGUUUCUACUCUAAACAGAAAUAAGGUCUCUUAGUUGAGUGGGAUCCUGCCCAAGAUGGAGUAUCAUGUAUCCUAAGGAUUAAGGCAAUCUCCUUAUCAAUUAUGCCCUUCAAUGUCUGGCUUACUAACCUAUAGGAACUAAUCCCUAAAUAAUGAAGUAUUUAAAAAGAAGAAAGUAAAGGAUUCAGCCUCAUUUAAUAACUGAUUAUUAAUGUAAUAGAAAAUAAACAUUUCUCUCAGAUUAUACAAAAGUGGUCUUGACACCUGAACCAGGAAGAGCCAAAAAAAAAAAAAAAAAGAAAAGAAAA